CCAGCACCUGCGGUAAUUCCAGCUCCAAUAGCGUAUAUUAAAGUUGUUGCAGUUAAAAAGCUCGUAGUUGGACUUUAGGCAAGGCGGCCUGGUCACCCUAAUGGGUGUACUGGGCUUCGCUGAGCCUCACCUUCGGGGACCGGUUGUGCGCAAGUGCAGCCGUUGAACCGAGCCUUACCUUGAGGAAAUUAGAGUGUUUAAAGCAGGCAUUUGCUUGAAUACGUUAGCAUGGAAUAACAUGAUAGGACUUUGGUUCUAUUUUGUUGGUUUGAGGACCAAAGUAAUGAUUAAUAGGGACAGUUGGGGGCAUUAGUAUUCAAUAGUCAGAGGUGAAAUUCUUGGAUUUAUUG
rnacentral:rRNA from 1 species